rnacentral:lncRNA from 1 species
CUUGUGACAUGUUGAUUCGUAAGUUGUGCCAAGUACUUUUGAUUUGAUAAAUUUCAUAGACGAGUAUAAGAUACAUGAGUAUAUUGAAUCGAAAAUCGAAAUAGUGUAAGCAAGCUAUUUUUCUUAAGUUAGGAUACUUUGAAACAACUUUCCAAAAUUCCGUUGGAGAUGUAAAUUGAGAAAAUAGUAAAUGAAGUAGUAGAAAAAUUGUAAAACUACUGGAUUCAGCGUUUUCAGACGAAAAGGGACGUUGAAUAAAAUUUACUGAGGACAGAGCGAAUAGAAAUUUUAAAUUGUGUAUUAUGUGAUGCUGCGGUUACAGUUGAAAUAGAAAAUUGAAGAUAGUGUCAUCAACUAUAUUGCGAUCUCAUUAAAUUAUGGAUUUGUUUUAUAUUAAAAAAGAAUAUAUUUCUUAACUAUUGACUUUUGAUGACACAGAGACGCAAUUUGGGAAUGGUGGAUCUAUACAGUUAAAUUGUUAUACAGUAUAUAAUUGAAUUGUUAUAAAAACCUUCAUGAUACCGGCAAGAGCUGCUCGUUAUAAACAUUAUUCGUUAUAAACAUUAUUCGUUAUAUCCGAAAACAUAAAAAUGUCCAGUUGAAUAGUGAUUUUGCAUAUACCGUUUUGUGUGCCAAUAUCGUAUUUUGCGCACUUAAUUUUUAUCUUUUUAUUAUAUUUUUUAAAGUUUACUGUAGUGGUUCUUAGUCUUUUUGGCGUCGUGGAACACGGAUUAUAAAAAGUUCUUGCGGAACACCAAAAUCAUUAUCGUUUAUGACGAUGACUCAGUCUUCUAAGUAAAAAUUAAAAUAUGCGUGCAUUUAUAGAACAUAGGUUGCAUUUUAUUAAAAAUUAUAUAAACAUAAUAUGCCUAAUUUAUAUGUAUUUGAAAAUUUCACAGAACAUCUGUGAUGAGUUUGCCGAAUAUCGGUUAAGAAAGAACCAUUGUCCUGUAUUAUGAAAAGGAUAAAUUAUGUGUAAUUUUAAUAUGACGAUUUUAUAAUUAUUGGCUGAAAUAUAAUAUAAGAAAAUAAAAAGAUGAUGAUAAAAAUUAUAAAUCGUCAUAUAAUUGAAUAUAUGCAUGCGCAUAUACUAUGUAUGUAUAUGCACGUAUCAUUCCAUAUCUAUGGCACAUUUAUACAUAAAAUCGGUAAGAAGACAGCGGACUUGGACGUAGACGGGCAUUAUUAUGCAAUGAUAUUUAUUGAAAGAAAAAUAAGACAAAUUAAAUCGAAAAAUUUAUCCAGGUUAAUAGGAUGGAUUUUCAGUAGUAAUCUUAAUUUUUAUUUCAUAUAGUUUAUAAAUUUCACUUUCAUAUACACACGCAAAAUAGUAUGCGUAAAUAAAUUUAAAUAUUAAAAUGCCAAUAGUUAUGAAGGUUACGGCAGUGAUUAAGCCAAAAACAGUAGUAACUAUCUCUUACUACUGGAGUCAUUAUGGCCAAAAUUCAACUUUAUUACUUUGGCCUUAAUAUAAAUAAUAAUCUGACAAUUAUAUUCGAGAAAAGCAUUCAAUAAAUAGGACACCGAUUGCUGAUUGAAGCUUCAGAUCUAAUUAAUAAAACAACUAGAGCAAUUUAAAAAUUGCAAAAAACAUUGUUUUUCUUCUCUUUCGCAAACAUUUCUACAGUUCACUGUUCAACCGCUAUCGAUGAAAUGUAGAUAAUGGAUAUUUUUAGAUUACUUGGUCCCUGAAAAAUUCAUCACAAUCGGGUCAAAAAUAAAUAUGGAAAUGGGAGUUUUUUUCCAUAAUCUCCUCUAUAUAUCGCAUUGUAUUUAAUCGCCUUUGACCAAAUUUUAAACAUAGGUAUAGCUUAAUCAUUUAAAAUCA